CAGUCGAGCGGAACGAGUUAUCUGAACCUUCGGGGAACGAUAACGGCGUCGAGCGGCGGACGGGUGAGUAAUGCCUAGGAAAUUGCCCUGAUGUGGGGGAUAACCAUUGGAAACGAUGGCUAAUACCGCAUGAUGCCUACGGGCCAAAGAGGGGGACCUUCGGGCCUCUCGCGUCAGGAUAUGCCUAGGUGGGAUUAGCUAGUUGGUGAGGUAAGGGCUCACCAAGGCGACGAUCCCUAGCUGGUCUGAGAGGAUGAUCAGCCACACUGGAACUGAGACACGGUCCAGACUCCUACGGGAGGCAGCAGUGGGGAAUAUUGCACAAUGGGCGCAAGCCUGAUGCAGCCAUGCCGCGUGUGUGAAGAAGGCCUUCGGGUUGUAAAGCACUUUCAGUCGUGAGGAAGGUAGUGUAGUUAAUAGCUGCAUUAUUUGACGUUAGCGACAGAAGAAGCACCGGCUAACUCCGUGCCAGC
rnacentral:rRNA from 1 species